UACGUAGGGGGCAAGCGUUGUCCGGAUUUACUGGGCGUAAAGAGCGUGUAGGCGGCCACGCAGGUCCGUUGUGAAAACUGGAGGCUCAACCUUCAGACGUCGACGGAAACCGUAUGGCUAGAGUCCGGAAGAGGAGAGUGGAAUUCCUGGUGUAGCGGUGAAAUGCGCAGAUAUCAGGAGGAACACCAAUGGCGAAGGCAGCUCGCUGGAACGGUACUGACGCUGAGGCGCGAGAGCGUGGGGAGCGAACAGG
rnacentral:rRNA from 1 species